UUAAGCGACUAAGCGUACACGGUGGAUGCCCUGGCAGUCAGAGGCGAUGAAGGACGUGCUAAUCUGCGAUAAGCGUCGGUAAGGUGAUAUGAACCGUUAUAACCGGCGAUUUCCGAAUGGGGAAACCCAGUGUGUUUCGACACACUAUCAUUAACUGAAUCCAUAGGUUAAUGAGGCGAACCGGGGGAACUGAAACAUCUAAGUACCCCGAGGAAAAGAAAUCAACCGAGAUUCCCCCAGUAGCGGCGAGCGAACGGGGAGCAGCCCAGAGUCUGAAUCAGUGUGUGUGUUAGUGGAAGCGUCUGGAAAGGCGCGCGAUACAGGGUGACAGCCCCGUACACAAAAAUGCACAUGCUGUGAGCUCGAUGAGUAGGGCGGGACACGUGGUAUCCUGUCUGAAUAUGGGGGGACCAUCCUCCAAGGCUAAAUACUCCUGACUGACCGAUAGUGAACCAGUACCGUGAGGGAAAGGCGAAAAGAACCCCGGCGAGGGGAGUGAAAAAGAACCUGAAACCGUGUACGUACAAGCAGUGGGAGCCUCUUUAUGGGGUGACUGCGUACCUUUUGUAUAAUGGGUCAGCGACUUAUAUUCUGUAGCAAGGUUAACCGAAUAGGGGAGCCGAAGGGAAACCGAGUCUUAACUGGGCGUUAAGUUGCAGGGUAUAGACCCGAAACCCGGUGAUCUAGCCAUGGGCAGGUUGAAGGUUGGGUAACACUAACUGGAGGACCGAACCGACUAAUGUUGAAAAAUUAGCGGAUGACUUGUGGCUGGGGGUGAAAGGCCAAUCAAACCGGGAGAUAGCUGGUUCUCCCCGAAAGCUAUUUAGGUAGCGCCUCGUGAAUUCAUCUCCGGGGGUAGAGCACUGUUUCGGCAAGGGGGUCAUCCCGACUUACCAACCCGAUGCAAACUGCGAAUACCGGAGAAUGUUAUCACGGGAGACACACGGCGGGUGCUAACGUCCGUCGUGAAGAGGGAAACAACCCAGACCGCCAGCUAAGGUCCCAAAGUCAUGGUUAAGUGGGAAACGAUGUGGGAAGGCCCAGACAGCCAGGAUGUUGGCUUAGAAGCAGCCAUCAUUUAAAGAAAGCGUAAUAGCUCACUGGUCGAGUCGGCCUGCGCGGAAGAUGUAACGGGGCUAAACCAUGCACCGAAGCUGCGGCAGCGACACUAUGUGUUGUUGGGUAGGGGAGCGUUCUGUAAGCCUGUGAAGGUGUGCUGUGAGGCAUGCUGGAGGUAUCAGAAGUGCGAAUGCUGACAUAAGUAACGAUAAAGCGGGUGAAAAGCCCGCUCGCCGGAAGACCAAGGGUUCCUGUCCAACGUUAAUCGGGGCAGGGUGAGUCGACCCCUAAGGCGAGGCCGAAAGGCGUAGUCGAUGGGAAACAGGUUAAUAUUCCUGUACUUGGUGUUACUGCGAAGGGGGGACGGAGAAGGCUAUGUUGGCCGGGCGACGGUUGUCCCGGUUUAAGCGUGUAGGCUGGUUUUCCAGGCAAAUCCGGAAAAUCAAGGCUGAGGCGUGAUGACGAGGCACUACGGUGCUGAAGCAACAAAUGCCCUGCUUCCAGGAAAAGCCUCUAAGCAUCAGGUAACAUCAAAUCGUACCCCAAACCGACACAGGUGGUCAGGUAGAGAAUACCAAGGCGCUUGAGAGAACUCGGGUGAAGGAACUAGGCAAAAUGGUGCCGUAACUUCGGGAGAAGGCACGCUGAUAUGUAGGUGAAGUCCCUCGCGGAUGGAGCUGAAAUCAGUCGAAGAUACCAGCUGGCUGCAACUGUUUAUUAAAAACACAGCACUGUGCAAACACGAAAGUGGACGUAUACGGUGUGACGCCUGCCCGGUGCCGGAAGGUUAAUUGAUGGGGUCAGCGCAAGCGAAGCUCUUGAUCGAAGCCCCGGUAAACGGCGGCCGUAACUAUAACGGUCCUAAGGUAGCGAAAUUCCUUGUCGGGUAAGUUCCGACCUGCACGAAUGGCGUAAUGAUGGCCAGGCUGUCUCCACCCGAGACUCAGUGAAAUUGAACUCGCUGUGAAGAUGCAGUGUACCCGCGGCAAGACGGAAAGACCCCGUGAACCUUUACUAUAGCUUGACACUGAACAUUGAGCCUUGAUGUGUAGGAUAGGUGGGAGGCUUGGAAGUGUGGACGCCAGUCUGCAUGGAGCCGACCUUGAAAUACCACCCUUUAAUGUUUGAUGUUCUAACGUUGACCCGUAAUCCGGGUUGCGGACAGUGUCUGGUGGGUAGUUUGACUGGGGCGGUCUCCUCCUAAAGAGUAACGGAGGAGCACGAAGGUUGGCUAAUCCUGGUCGGACAUCAGGAGGUUAGUGCAAUGGCAUAAGCCAGCUUGACUGCGAGCGUGACGGCGCGAGCAGGUGCGAAAGCAGGUCAUAGUGAUCCGGUGGUUCUGAAUGGAAGGGCCAUCGCUCAACGGAUAAAAGGUACUCCGGGGAUAACAGGCUGAUACCGCCCAAGAGUUCAUAUCGACGGCGGUGUUUGGCACCUCGAUGUCGGCUCAUCACAUCCUGGGGCUGAAGUAGGUCCCAAGGGUAUGGCUGUUCGCCAUUUAAAGUGGUACGCGAGCUGGGUUUAGAACGUCGUGAGACAGUUCGGUCCCUAUCUGCCGUGGGCGCUGGAGAACUGAGGGGGGCUGCUCCUAGUACGAGAGGACCGGAGUGGACGCAUCACUGGUGUUCGGGUUGUCAUGCCAAUGGCACUGCCCGGUAGCUAAAUGCGGAAGAGAUAAGUGCUGAAAGCAUCUAAGCACGAAACUUGCCCCGAGAUGAGUUCUCCCUGACUCCUUGAGAGUCCUGAAGGAACGUUGAAGACGACGACGUUGAUAGGCCGGGUGUGUAAGCGCAGCGAUGCGUUGAGCUAACCGGUACUAAUGAACCGUGAGGCUUAACCUU
rnacentral:rRNA from 1 species